rnacentral:rRNA from 1 species
UACGAAGGGGGCUAGCGUUGCUCGGAAUCACUGGGCGUAAAGGGUGCGUAGGCGGGUCUUUAAGUCAGGGUGAAUCCUGGAGCUCAACUCCAGAACUGCCUUUGAUACUGAGGAUCUUGAGUUCGGGAGAGGUGAGUGGAACUGCGAGUGUAGAGGUGAAAUUCGUAGAUAUUCGCAAGAACACCAGUGGCGAAGGCGGCUCACUGGCCCGGUACUGACGCUGAGGUGCGAAAGCGUGGGGAGCAAACAGGG